CGGAGGUAGCUCAAUGGUAGAGCCGCGGAUUUCCAUUCCGCUGACGCGGGUUCGAUUCCCGUCCUCCG
rnacentral:tRNA from 1 species